rnacentral:rRNA from 1 species
AGUGAACGCUGGCGGUAGGCCUAACACAUGCAAGUCGAACGGCAGCACAGUAAGAGCUUGCUCUUACGGGUGGCGAGUGGCGGACGGGUGAGGAAUACAUCGGAAUCUACUUUUUCGUGGGGGAUAACGUAGGGAAACUUACGCUAAUACCGCAUACGACCUACGGGUGAAAGCAGGGGAUCUUCGGACCUUGCGCGAUUGAAUGAGCCGAUGUCGGAUUAGCUAGUUGGCGGGGUAAAGGCCCACCAAGGCGACGAUCCGUAGCUGGUCUGAGAGGAUGAUCAGCCACACGGGAACGGAGACACGGCCCAGCCUCCUGGGGGAGGCAGCGGUGGGGAAUAUUGGACAAUGGGCGAAAGCCUGACCCCGCCAUCCCGCGUGGGUGAAGAAGGCUUGCGGGUUGUAAAGCCCUUUUGUUGGAAAAAAAAAGCAGCAGGUAAAUCCCCCGCUGUUCUGACGGUACCCAAAAAAUAAGCACCGGCUAACUUCGUG